rnacentral:lncRNA from 1 species
CAGUCUUGAAAGAUGGGAAGAUCAGGAGCAGUCUGGAGUCAUGGUAUAUGAAUGAACUAGUGAGAGUGGGCACAAAGUCUGAAGAUCUUUGUAGUGCAGCUAAUGUCUAAGGGAGAAUAUACCUACCCUAGAAGAGACAUUAAACAACCAGUUCAACCAAUCUACAAAGGCCAAAAAUAUUUUCACAGGCCCCCAAAAGAUGAACUCCAAUCUGCUGCCCCUAAACGCAUUCUCCACUGUCUGGAAGAUGUGCAAAGGCAACGGCACAGCGUUCUCCAUCUCAAAUCCUUCAAAGUGCUGUCAGAAUAAAAGAAUCCCCACCAAAAGCCCCAGGGAAAUCUAUCUGUCUGUAUGGUAUGGUAAUGACUGAGGUUAUUCCAGAUAGGAUUCUGGGAGAAACUCAGCUAUUGAAAUCUAAUGAAUGGAACUGAGAAUUUCUUGUUAUAAUACUGUUUGUUUGAUUGAAUAUAUCCUUGCAUAUAGGAAGACAUAAAAAUAAAUAAUAAAAGCAA